GUUUCUAUCUAUGACAUGCCCCCUUCCAGUACGAAAGGACCGAAGGAGGGAGGCCAAUGCCAAAGACAUGCCUCACCCUUAACCAAUGCAAACAACUAAAAUGGACAAAAGGACAUAUUCUCCAUGCCUCAAAUAAAGGCU
rnacentral:rRNA from 1 species